AGGCUGCAACCCGCCUGCAUGAAGUCGGAAUUGCUAGUAAUCGCGGAUCAGCAUGCCGCGGUGAAUACGUUCCCGGGCCUUGUACACACCGCCCGUCACACCAUGGGAGCCGGUAAUACCCGAAGUCAGUAGUCCAACCACGUGAGGACGCUGCCGAAGGUAGGAUUGGCGACUGGGGUGAAGUCGUAACAAGGUACC
rnacentral:rRNA from 1 species